rnacentral:rRNA from 1 species
GAUGAACGCUGGCGGCGUGCCUAAUACAUGCAAGUCGAGCGAACAGACGAGGAGCUUGCUCCUCUGACGUUAGCGGCGGACGGGUGAUUAACACGUGGAUAACCUACCUAUAAGACUGGGAUAACUUCGGGAAACCGGAGCUAAUACCGGAUAAUAUAUUGAACCUCAUGGUUCAAUAGUGAAAGACGGUUUUGCUGUCACUUAUAGAUGGAUCCGCGCCGCAUUAGCUAGUUGGUAAGGUAACGGCUUACCAAGGCAACGAUGCGUAGCCGACCUGAGAGGGUGAUCGGCCACACUGGAACUGAGACACGGUCCAGACUCCUACGGGAGGCAGCAGUAGGGAAUCUUCCGCGAUGGGCGAAAGCCUGACGGAGCAACGCCGCGUGAGUGAUGAAGGUCUUCGGAUCGUAAAACUCUGUUAUUAGGGAGGAACAAAAGUGUAAGUAACUAUGCACGUCUUGACGGUACCUAAACAGAAAGCCACGGCUAACUACGUG